rnacentral:lncRNA from 1 species
CUAUGUAUCAAUAUUAAACAAAAUUUACAACUUAAUUCCAAGUCACAGUAUCACAUUUCAAGUGCCCACUAUCCUGAUGGCAAAGGACUACUAUAUUACACAGUGCAGGUAGAGAAUAUUUCUGUGAAAUAAAGUAGUAAAUGUAAGAAGCUGUGUUUGCUCAUUCUUCUUGCCAGCAGAAUUUCACAUAAUCCAUUGCCAGUGGAAUUUCACAAAGUCCCUGACUUAGUGACUGAGCGCAGCCCUCCAAAAGAAUGCCCUGAAAAUGAGAGAGCACAGGCUCCCAUGUCUCUUGCCUGAAUCAGUGCAUUUUUUAGAAAAGGAGCUCAUGAUUAGCUGCCUUGAAGAAGAGUUGUGAUUAGUUAGACCUGAACCUCUCCUCACAGGAAAAGAGUGAGAACAUUUUUGUUCCCAAGGGAUAAAAAGGAAUCCCAUAUUGUGACUUGGGAGCUGGAUAUAUAGGUAGUGUAUGAGUGGAUCUGCUUGGGA